GACGAACGCUGGCGGCGUGCCUAAUACAUGCAAGUCGAACGAGAGCGACCGGUGCUUGCACUGGUCAAUCUAGUGGCGAACGGGUGAGUAACACGUGGGUAACCUGCCCAUCAGAGGGGGAUAACAUUCGGAAACGGAUGCUAAAACCGCAUAGGUCCUUUAACCGCAUGGUUGAAGGAGGAAAAGAGGCGCAAGCUUCUGCUGAUGGAUGGACCCGCGGUGCAUUAGCUAGUUGGUGAGGUAACGGCUCACCAAGGCCGUGAUGCAUAGCCGACCUGAGAGGGUGAUCGGCCACAUUGGGACUGAGACACGGCCCAAACUCCUACGGGAGGCAGCAGUAGGGAAUCUUCCGCAAUGGACGCAAGUCUGACGGAGCAACGCCGCGUGAGUGAAGAAGGUUUUCGGAUUGUAAAACUCUGUUGUUAGAGAAGAACAAGUGCUAGAGUAACUGUUAGCGCCUUGACGGUAUC
rnacentral:rRNA from 1 species